UGUGUACUAUUGUUUGUCUGUUUGUAUUUUUCAUUUUAAGUCAUGGAGUUGUCAGUUUAUAUUCGAUUUAUGAGUUUGACUGUCCCUCUUGAAUUUUUCGUCCCUCUUUUUUUUUGACUCGACCAAAAAUUAAGAGAAACACAGGAGUGUAGUGCAUAUCCCAUGAUUUAAAUAAAUGUAAGGCGUAACGUAAUCAACUUAA
rnacentral:lncRNA from 1 species